GAUGAACGCUGGCGGCGUGCCUAAUACAUGCAAGUCGAGCGAACAGACGAGGAGCUUGCUCCUCUGACGUUAGCGGCGGACGGGUGAGUAACACGUGGAUAACCUACCUAUAAGACUGGGAUAACUUCGGGAAACCGGAGCUAAUACCGGAUAAUAUAUUGAACCGCAUGGUUCAAUAGUGAAAGACGGUUUUGCUGUCCCUUAUAGAUGGAUCCGCGCCGCAUUAUCUAGUUGGUAAGGUAACGGCUUACCAAGGCAACGAUGCGUAGCCGACCUGAGAGGGUGAUCGGCCACACUGGAACGGAGACACGGUCCAGACUCCUACGGGAGGCAGCAGUAGGGAAUCUUCCGCAAUGGGCGAAAGCCUGACGGAGCAACGCCGCGUGAGUGAUGAAGGUCUUCGGAUCGUAAAACUCUGUUAUUAGGGAAGAACAAAUGUGUAAGUAACUAUGCACGUCUUGACGGUACCUAAUCAGAAAGCCACGGCUAACUACGUG
rnacentral:rRNA from 1 species